UACAGAGGGUGCGAGCGUUAAUCGGAAUUACUGGGCGUAAAGCGCGCGUAGGCGGCUUUGCAAGUCGGGUGUGAAAUCCCCAGGCUUAACCUGGGAACUGCAUUCGAGACUGCAUUGCUAGAGUAUGGGAGAGGGAAGUGGAAUUUCCGGUGUAGCGGUGAAAUGCGUAGAUAUCGGGAAGAACACCAGUGGCGAAGGCGGUCUGCUGGGCCGUUGCUGACGCUGAGGCGCGACAGCGUGGGGAGCAAACAGG
rnacentral:rRNA from 1 species